rnacentral:rRNA from 1 species
AGCGUUGUUCGGAAUUACUGGGCGUAAAGGGCUUGUAGGCGGCCAACUAAGUCAGACGUGAAAUCCCUCGGCUUAACCGGGGAACUGCAUCUGAUACUGGAUGGCUUGAGAUUGGGAGAGGGAUGCGGAAUUCCAGGUGUAGCGGUGAAAUGCGUAGAUAUCUGGAGGAACACCGGUGGCGAAGGCGGCAUCCUGGACCAAUGCUGACACUGAGGAGCGAAAGCCAGGGGAGCAAACGGG